UCUUUCUGCAGCUCUGCUGUUGGUGAAGCUUUUCCUACUAACACAGAAUCUUCUGAUGUGGAAAAAGACCUUGACAAAUCAUGCUAUGAUGUGCUGAAGUCUAGGGGUCAGCCUAAUGGCAAACAUCACCAGAAACAAAGCUACCUAACCAUUUCUCCUCACUCACAGGAAUAACCUUUUAAAAGUUGCCAUUUUCAGGAUCCAAUGUAGGCUCUCUGCUUCUCUGUCUUUGUGCUUGUUUUUAAUUGCAUUGUUCUUCAAAUUUUUCACAGCAUCGCUUAUUUUCACAUGGGGAAUGAAAUAAAUUAAGAUAAGAGGUUCAAUUUUUGACUGUAACUUCUGCACGUAACUCCUUUGGUUUUCGUUGGAGAUACUGGCCUAAACAAAUUGUCUUAGGCAUAGCUUCUAUGGAUAGUUCUGCUUAUGAAAUAUUGUAUCUAUAAUGAUGAGAAGUCAAACUUCAAAAGAACAAUGAUAACUGCAGAAAAAAGGGUUCUGUUCAAACUUCUCUACAUUUUUGCCACCUCAUUAUGACUACUUAUUCAUGAAAGUAUCUGCCAAUGAAUUCUACGUGAAUUCUACAAUGAAUUCUUCUUUCUUCAGAGCAUUUUAUUCAGAUAAUGCAAUAUGCAUUUCAGGUCGGAUUUGAUACAUAAGACAUAACCCUAUGUGUCAAUGUUUCUGAAUAACCUCAUGUUCUCUCCAGGUAAGUUUUCACUGACA